rnacentral:rRNA from 1 species
CUCAGGACGAACGCUGGCGGCGUGCCUAAUACAUGCAAGUCGAGCGGACAGAAGGGAGCUUGCUCCCGGAUGUUAGCGGCGGACGGGUGAGUAACACGUGGGUAACCUGCCUGUAAGACUGGGAUAACUCCGGGAAACCGGAGCUAAUACCGGAUAGUUCCUUGAACCGCAUGGUUCAAGGAUGAAAGACGGUUUCGGCUGUCACUUACAGAUGGACCCGCGGCGCAUUAGCUAGUUGGUGGGGUAAUGGCUCACCAAGGCGACGAUGCGUAGCCGACCUGAGAGGGUGAUCGGCCACACUGGGACUGAGACACGGCCCAGACUCCUACGGGAGGCAGCAGUAGGGAAUCUUCCGCAAUGGACGAAAGUCUGACGGAGCAACGCCGCGUGAGUGAUGAAGGUUUUCGGAUCGUA